GACAAAAGUCAGUUCAGGAGACCUGAUGAAACAAAUCCCCAGGAGUUGGAAUCUUCAUGCAUUGCAGACUGAAGAAUGGGCUAAAUCCAUGUGCUACAGAUGUUUGCUGAGUGCAGUUGGAUGCAUAUUUCCAGGAACAGAAACUCGCCCUACUGUAUACCAGGGACUAACAUGUUCAACCAAUUCAUUGCACAGCCCUUACCUUGGAAGGUACUUCUGGAAGCUCUUGACCAGAGCUUGGAUUUUUUUGAGAGUAGUCUUACAGGGAGCUGCCUGCUCAGCUGCAAGCCACUGGUCACACACUCACACAGCUUUCGGUGACAUCCCAGUCUGAAUCAUUUCAAACCAGGUCUGUAACCUUCAGCCUCCCUUUCUCAGUGAGGGGUAAUAGGAGCACUAAGUCUGGAUAAAGGUCUUGUUCGCUGCUAGUUUCAUACAAGUGAAGAGAAGGCUUCUUCCAGCCUCAGGAAAAGCAGACACAUUAACUGAAAAGAUUUUUGGAAGAAAAAAAAUGGCUUUCAGUUGAACAAUGCAGACUGGCAAUCCUAAGAAAAGGUAACACCUGAUGGUUUUCAUUAAAUCACUAACACAGCUUCUAGUGGUGCUACUGGACUUUAAAGGAAGCCCACAUCCAGUUAGUUUGCCCCAGAAGAAAUCCUGAAACAAUGAUGUGUAUAGAGGAGACAACUCAGGUUUCCCUUGAUAAUCAUAAAGGGCUCAAAUUACCUUCCUUUCCAUCCCCAAAGGGGGCAUAAAUACUUCAUUUAUGAGAUUGUUUGCGCAUGACUAAUCUAUUUCUACUUGCUAAUUGUAAUGAGUAAUGCAUCUUACAAGACAAAUAUUAGCUUGUAAUAAUACCUGAACAAGUAGAUUUAUAAGCGUUAAGUGAAAAUACAAAUAAUUAGCAGAAGCUGACUGGUAUUAUCUUCUAAUUAACUGUAAAGACACUUCCUAUUUGGAAGAAAAAGUAUCAGGAUCUCUCAGGAAGCUGUAGAAAGAAGCAGGCCAAGCUACUGUUCUCUUGAAAAGGAGGCACUAGUCAGGUAAUAUUUAAUUUUCGUGGGAGCUGAAUUCAGUCAUACUUCCCCCACUGACGUCAGUGCAAGAAAAGCACUUUCAGCCUGUUCCUACCUGCUGAGACCAUAUGUCCACUGGGAAGAAUUUGGCAGCCAUCUCCAAGUAGAGGUAAUUAUAGGAGACAGGAACUGUUCUGGUAGCACAGUUCGGGACUUAUUUCUGCACGGCCCGACUAGCUGACCACUACUUAACGAAACUUGAUCUGAAGGAAUGUUGUUGACCAAAUACUGGGUUUGAUACGUACAGUACGUCCGACCUGGGCUGUUGUGCCUUGUCUAAACAGACCGCCAGGACUCUGCAGCGAGGUUACAAGUGCUUUAGUGACCGUGGGUUCUCCUGAAGUAAGGUGGGACAUCAGAAUGGUUACAGAAUACAUCUCCCGAUUGCUUUGUGUUUAUUGACACAAACAAUGAAGUGAUUUCCCAGCUGUUGGGCUGCAACAUUUGUGUACGGGCUAAAGUGCCACAGCUUGUAUUGUAUUUGAAAACUGAACUUAAAGGAAUUCUGUUGCUUUUGGUACCUCCUGAAUGCCUGCUUACAUGCUCUCCAGGGACUUGUGUCCUUGCUGCCGAGAGGCAGGGCUUGAGUAUUGAUUCCCACCCUGCGCCAGAACGUCCUUGAUAGGGAGAUCGCUGCCUGACCCCAGGCUAGAGCCAAAGUACACAGCAGCAUCCCGGCAGCGGGCGUGAUGACAGAGUUUGACCUGAGGUAUUAGCCUGCGGCAGAAGCAAGCGUGAUGCUGUAGACACAGCGUCUGCAAACGGAUGGAACUGAUGGACUCCUGGCUCUGAAGUUGCAAACUGGAUUUUGGCACAUACAUGGUAUCAUUACUUCAAAAAUAGUGCUCUGGAAUAACUUUUUACAGUGCUGAUGUAAUUCUUUGUUUAAAAUCUGCAAGAAUUACCUGAAAUACUGGGCCUAUAUUACAGACAGACAUUCAGAAGCCCAUUGACUUCCCUAAAACCGUGAAGGGAAUUAGGGAUAAUGCUUUAAAUGUUAUCCAGCUCUUACGCUCCCAAUUCCUUUCUUCAAUUUUGCUCUCUUCCAUGUUCUUAAUACCCUGAGGAGAGAUCCAAAGACUGGGAAUUUGCUCACCCUGCAACUCAGGGGGUCUGUGUUCUGUUGGAUGUUAGUAAAGACUUUCUGUGUCUGUUGUGCCAAACAGCAACAAAAUAAUGACUUGCAUGCAUUCAUACAGUCCAUCAUCCUGGGCUAACAUUAAAAGACAAAAUAGAGAUUCAGUAGCAUGAUUAACUUUCUCAUUUUCCUCAAGCUGAACAGCUGUGAUUUUAGUUUAGAUUUUACCCAAAAAUGUUUCUUCCAAGUAUGAAUUUGGAACACCAAAUGUGUUUUGUCAAACACUGUAUUAGCUUGGAGUUCUAGAACAGAAUUUAGACACUGCUGUGUGCCUGACUUGUAGCUUUGUCAAUCGUCUUAAAAAAUCUCUGUUAGCGACAUUUGCUAUACCUCUAACUAAAAAAAAACCACCCUAAUCUCAGAAUAAGGCUGUACCCAAAAAGCCUGGAUAAAUGCAAAAUAAUCAGGGAGUGCAACCACUACUUGUUUCCUAAUAUAACUGGAAGGGUUUGUUUAAAUCAGCAGAGCUGAUCUUUGCCCAAGUUGUAUCCAUGUGCCAGGAAACCGAAGGUCAUCCUGGAUUAGACGAGAACAAAAUCAUCUCCAGCCUUCAGAAAAUAAGGUUUCUAAUAUGAACUGCUCUUAGUCCAAGCAGGCAGUGGAUGGUAAAGAACAAGAAGGCAAGGACAAUUCCUGCUUUGGGCCAGAAAGCCUGCUGCUGUCGUAACCAGGUCGAUGUUACUCCUUCCAUCUGGUUUUGCAAACCCAUUCACAUUUUGAAUGCUCUUCUGCAUAAAAUCUCAGUCAAAGGAAUUUCAGCACAAAUUGUUAACUGAGAUGAUAUGCAAGUAUUAGUUUUGUUGUAUGUCUUAAGUGAGGCCAAGAGGCUUCAGUCUGCGUGCAAGAAAACAAUAAAUAUUACUGUAAAAAUCA
rnacentral:lncRNA from 1 species